CUUUUAGCCAUAUUGCUCCAACACUUAUUAACUGCCCCAUUCAGCCACGUUGAUCCUACAAUUUAAAACUGUCCAUCCCGCCUAGCUAUACUACACUGACACUUUAGAACUUUGUACUAUUUUCAUUAGAUGUCUCUAUAUAAUGGCUUUAAGGUGCCUCCUAUUAAAAUUAUGCAAAAGGUCGGCUCUGGGGCCCUUUUUUCUCUCUGGUGUUUGACAAGCUUCCCAAAUGAUCAGCUUAUAUCUUAAAGAGUGUUGGAGCUUAUUUGUUAAAUACUGAAUGGUAGCAAAGUAACAACUGAAUUGCAC